AUUCCUGUGGCUUAGUCGGCAGAGCGUUGUGCUAGCAACGCAAAGGUCAGGGUUUCCAACCCAGGAAAA